UUACGGCCAUAUUACGUUGAAACACAGGUUCCCAUACAAUCACCGAAGUUAAGCAAUGUCGAGCCUUGUCAUUAUCUAGAUGGGUGAUCACUUGCGCACCCAGGUGUUGUAA